AUGUGCUCGUUGCCCUUGACCUCUACCCAUCCAACUCCAACCCCCCAAUCUGUGCACUUUGCUGUGAGGUGUGUCCACCCGUUUCGGCGGGCGUUUCCCUCGGACCAGGAGUACCGAGGGAUGAGACGUCAGCACCUCGCAGAACCUCAUCGCAAACGCCUUAACAAGUCAAGUAGAAUGUAUAAAGUUAACAAGUACAACUUUCAACAACGGAUCUCUUGGCUCUCGCAUCGAUGAAGAACGCAGCGAAAUGCGAUAAGUAAUGUGAAUUGCAGAAUUCAGUGAAUCAUCGAAUCUUUGAACGCACCUUGCGCUCCUUGGYAUUCCGAGGAGCAUGCCUGUUUGAGUGUCAUGAAAUCAUCAACCCAGAGUGCUUUGUGUGCUUCUGUGGAUUGGACUUUUGGGGGCUUGCCGGCCGUGAGGUCGACUCUCCUUGAAUGCAUUAGCCAGACCGUCUGGGGGAAUCACGGCGUGAUAAGCUUUGCGCCGUUUGCCUCUCCUUGACCGCCCGCUUCUAAUCGUCUUCGGACAAC
rnacentral:rRNA from 1 species